CAGCCGCGGUAAUACGUAGGGUGCGAGCGUUGUCCGGAUUUAUUGGGCGUAAAGGGCUCGUAGGUGGUUGAUCGCGUCGGAAGUGUAAUCUUGGGGCUUAUCCCUGAGCGUGCUUUCGAUACGGGUUGACUUGAGGAAGGUAGGGGAGAAUGAAAUUCCUGGUGGAGCGGUGGAAUGCGCAGAUAUCAGGAGGAACACCAGUGGCGAAGGCGGUUCUCUGGGCCUUUCCUGACGCUGAGGAGCGAAAGCGUGGGGAGCGAACAGGCUUAGAUACCCUGGUAGUCCACGCUGUAAACGGUGGGUACUAGGUGUGGGGUCCAUUCCACGGGUUCCGUGCCGUAGCUAACGCUUUAAGUACCCCGCCUGGGAGUACGGCCGCAAGGCUAAAACUCAAAGGAAUUGACGGGGCCCCGCGCAAGCGGCGGAGCAUGCGGAUUAAUUCGAUGCAACGCGUAGGACCUUACCUGGGUUUGACAUGGAUCGGGAGUGCUCAGAGAUGGGUGUGCCUCUUUUGGGGUCGGUUCACAGGUGGUGCAUGGCUGUCGUCAGCUCGUGUCGUGAGAUGUUGGGUUAAGUCCCGCAACGAGCGCAACCCUUGUUCACUGUUGCCAGCACGUUAUGGUGGGGACUCAGUGGAGACCGCCGGGGUCAACUCGGAGGAAGGUGGGGAUGACGUCAAGUCAUCAUGCCCCUUAUGUCCAGGGCUUCACGCAUGCUACAAUGGCUGGUACAGAGAGUGGCGAGCCUGUGAGGGUGAGCGAAUCUCGGAAAGCCGGUCUCAGUUCGGAUUGGGGUCUGCAACUCGACCUCAUGAAGUCGGAGUCGCUAGUAAUCGCAGAUCAGCAACGCUGCGGUGAAUACGUUCCCGGGGCUUGUACACACCGCCCGUCAAGGGCGAAUUCCA
rnacentral:rRNA from 1 species